rnacentral:rRNA from 1 species
CCUACGGGAGGCAGUAGUGAGGAAUAUUGGUCAAUGGGCGCGAGCCUGAACCAGCCAAGUAGCGUGAAGGAUGACUGCCCUACGGGUUGUAAACUUCUGUUAUAAAGGAAUAAAGUGAGGCACGUGUGCCUUUUUGUAUGUACUUUAUGAAUAAGGAUCGGCUCACUCCGUGCCCGCAGCCGCGGUAAUACGGAGGAUCCGGGCGUUAUCCGGAUUUAUUGGUGUUAAAGGGAGCGUAGAUGGGUUGUGACGUCAAUUGUGAAAGUUUGCGGCUCAACCGUAAAAUUGCAAUUGAUACUGGCAGUCUUGAGUACAGGUGAGGUAGGCGGAAUUCGUGGUGUAGCGGUGAAAUGCUUAGAUAUCACGAAGAACUCCGAUUGCGAAGGCAGCUUACUAAACUGCCACUGACAUUGAUGCUCGAAAGUGUGGGUAUCAAACAGGAUUAGAUACCCGAGUAGUC